rnacentral:rRNA from 1 species
GACGAACGCUGGCGGUGUGCUUAACACAUGCAAGUCGAACGGUAAGGCCCUGUUUGGGGGAUACUAGUGGCGCACGCGUGUGUAUCACGCGUGUAACCUGCCCUCUUCUCUGGGAUAACAGUCGGAAACGGUUGCUAAAACUGGGUAUGGGCGUGCAAGGCAGCUUGUGGGUUGGAAAGAUUUUUUUGGGUGGGGUUGGGCUGGGGGCCUAUCAGCUUGUUGGUGGGGUAAUGGCUCACCAAGGCUCCGACGGGUAGCCGGCCUGAGAGGGUGACCGGCCACAUUGGGACUGAGAUACGGCCCAAACUCCUACGGGAGGCAGCAGUGGGGAAUAUUGCACAAUGGACGGAAGUCUGAUGCAGCAACGCCGCGUGCGGGAUGACGGCCUUCGGGUUGUAAACCGCUUUCAAUUGUGACGAAGCUUUUUGUGACGGUAGCAGUAGAAGAAGCACCGGCUAACUACGUG